rnacentral:rRNA from 2 species
UUAAGCGACUAAGCGUACACGGUGGAUGCCCUGGCAGUCAGAGGCGAUGAAGGACGUGCUAAUCUGCGAUAAGCGUCGGUAAGGUGAUAUGAACCGUUAUAACCGGCGAUUUCCGAAUGGGGAAACCCAGUGUGUUUCGACACACUAUCAUUAACUGAAUCCAUAGGUUAAUGAGGCGAACCGGGGGAACUGAAACAUCUAAGUACCCCGAGGAAAAGAAAUCAACCGAGAUUCCCCCAGUAGCGGCGAGCGAACGGGGAGCAGCCCAGAGCCUGAAUCAGUGUGUGUGUUAGUGGAAGCGUCUGGAAAGGCGCGCGAUACAGGGUGACAGCCCCGUACACAAAAAUGCACAUGCUGUGAGCUCGAUGAGUAGGGCGGGACACGUGGUAUCCUGUCUGAAUAUGGGGGGACCAUCCUCCAAGGCUAAAUACUCCUGACUGACCGAUAGUGAACCAGUACCGUGAGGGAAAGGCGAAAAGAACCCCGGCGAGGGGAGUGAAAAAGAACCUGAAACCGUGUACGUACAAGCAGUGGGAGCACGCUUAGGCGUGUGACUGCGUACCUUUUGUAUAAUGGGUCAGCGACUUAUAUUCUGUAGCAAGGUUAACCGAAUAGGGGAGCCGAAGGGAAACCGAGUCUUAACUGGGCGUUAAGUUGCAGGGUAUAGACCCGAAACCCGGUGAUCUAGCCAUGGGCAGGUUGAAGGUUGGGUAACACUAACUGGAGGACCGAACCGACUAAUGUUGAAAAAUUAGCGGAUGACUUGUGGCUGGGGGUGAAAGGCCAAUCAAACCGGGAGAUAGCUGGUUCUCCCCGAAAGCUAUUUAGGUAGCGCCUCGUGAAUUCAUCUCCGGGGGUAGAGCACUGUUUCGGCAAGGGGGUCAUCCCGACUUACCAACCCGAUGCAAACUGCGAAUACCGGAGAAUGUUAUCACGGGAGACACACGGCGGGUGCUAACGUCCGUCGUGAAGAGGGAAACAACCCAGACCGCCAGCUAAGGUCCCAAAGUCAUGGUUAAGUGGGAAACGAUGUGGGAAGGCCCAGACAGCCAGGAUGUUGGCUUAGAAGCAGCCAUCAUUUAAAGAAAGCGUAAUAGCUCACUGGUCGAGUCGGCCUGCGCGGAAGAUGUAACGGGGCUAAACCAUGCACCGAAGCUGCGGCAGCGACGCUGAUGCGUUGUUGGGUAGGGGAGCGUUCUGUAAGCCUGCGAAGGUGUGCUGUGAGGCAUGCUGGAGGUAUCAGAAGUGCGAAUGCUGACAUAAGUAACGAUAAAGCGGGUGAAAAGCCCGCUCGCCGGAAGACCAAGGGUUCCUGUCCAACGUUAAUCGGGGCAGGGUGAGUCGACCCCUAAGGCGAGGCCGAAAGGCGUAGUCGAUGGGAAACAGGUUAAUAUUCCUGUACUUGGUGUUACUGCGAAGGGGGGACGGAGAAGGCUAUGUUGGCCGGGCGACGGUUGUCCCGGUUUAAGCGUGUAGGCUGGUUUUCCAGGCAAAUCCGGAAAAUCAAGGCUGAGGCGUGAUGACGAGGCACUACGGUGCUGAAGCAACAAAUGCCCUGCUUCCAGGAAAAGCCUCUAAGCAUCAGGUAACAUCAAAUCGUACCCCAAACCGACACAGGUGGUCAGGUAGAGAAUACCAAGGCGCUUGAGAGAACUCGGGUGAAGGAACUAGGCAAAAUGGUGCCGUAACUUCGGGAGAAGGCACGCUGAUAUGUAGGUGAAGUCCCUCGCGGAUGGAGCUGAAAUCAGUCGAAGAUACCAGCUGGCUGCAACUGUUUAUUAAAAACACAGCACUGUGCAAACACGAAAGUGGACGUAUACGGUGUGACGCCUGCCCGGUGCCGGAAGGUUAAUUGAUGGGGUUAGCGCAAGCGAAGCUCUUGAUCGAAGCCCCGGUAAACGGCGGCCGUAACUAUAACGGUCCUAAGGUAGCGAAAUUCCUUGUCGGGUAAGUUCCGACCUGCACGAAUGGCGUAAUGAUGGCCAGGCUGUCUCCACCCGAGACUCAGUGAAAUUGAACUCGCUGUGAAGAUGCAGUGUACCCGCGGCAAGACGGAAAGACCCCGUGAACCUUUACUAUAGCUUGACACUGAACAUUGAGCCUUGAUGUGUAGGAUAGGUGGGAGGCUUAGAAGUGUGGACGCCAGUCUGCAUGGAGCCGACCUUGAAAUACCACCCUUUAAUGUUUGAUGUUCUAACGUUGACCCGUGAUCCGGGUUGCGGACAGUGUCUGGUGGGUAGUUUGACUGGGGCGGUCUCCUCCUAAAGAGUAACGGAGGAGCACGAAGGUUGGCUAAUCCUGGUCGGACAUCAGGAGGUUAGUGCAAUGGCAUAAGCCAGCUUGACUGCGAGCGUGACGGCGCGAGCAGGUGCGAAAGCAGGUCAUAGUGAUCCGGUGGUUCUGAAUGGAAGGGCCAUCGCUCAACGGAUAAAAGGUACUCCGGGGAUAACAGGCUGAUACCGCCCAAGAGUUCAUAUCGACGGCGGUGUUUGGCACCUCGAUGUCGGCUCAUCACAUCCUGGGGCUGAAGUAGGUCCCAAGGGUAUGGCUGUUCGCCAUUUAAAGUGGUACGCGAGCUGGGUUUAGAACGUCGUGAGACAGUUCGGUCCCUAUCUGCCGUGGGCGCUGGAGAACUGAGGGGGGCUGCUCCUAGUACGAGAGGACCGGAGUGGACGCAUCACUGGUGUUCGGGUUGUCAUGCCAAUGGCACUGCCCGGUAGCUAAAUGCGGAAGAGAUAAGUGCUGAAAGCAUCUAAGCACGAAACUUGCCCCGAGAUGAGUUCUCCCUGACUCCUUGAGAGUCCUGAAGGAACGUUGAAGACGACGACGUUGAUAGGCCGGGUGUGUAAGCGCAGCGAUGCGUUGAGCUAACCGGUACUAAUGAACCGUGAGGCUUAACCUU